rnacentral:piRNA from 1 species
UCGCGGAACGGGUGCUGGGAUUGGUUC